rnacentral:lncRNA from 1 species
UCUACCACUGAGCUGCAUCCCCAGUCCUUUUUUUUGAGACAGGGCCUCCCUCACCAAGUUGCUGAAGCUGGUCUCAAACUUGUGAUUCUCCUGACUCAGCCUCCCAAGUAUCUGGGAGUACAGGACGUACCACUCACUUUAAACAUUUUUUUAAAGUUACCUUAAAUUUUAAGUUAACUUAAGGCAGUGGUUAAGUGGUGCCUGGGGUUCUGUGCCUCUGGGCUCAUCUCUUUCCAAGUCCUUAAAUUAACUUAAAUUUUUUUGCAUUCCGUUUGCUAGCAGCACAACUAUUUCUCUCAGAAUUAUUUAUGAAAAAAAAAAUGCCACUAAAAGUAUUUGACUGAAUUCUAUUUUCAUAUUAUUUCUUAAUUUUAUGGUUAUCAUCAUCAGUGAUCACAAACAUAAUGCAGGGUAAAAUAUGUUUCUCAAGCUGGGAACAGUGGUGCACACCGGUAGUAAUCCCAGCAGCUCUGGAGGCUGAAGCAGGAGGAUCACAAGUUCAAAGCCAGCCUCAGCAACUGCAAGACACUAAGCAACUAAGUGAGAUCCUGCCUCUAAUAAAAUACAAAGUAGGGCUGGGGAUGUGGCUCAGUGGUUGAGUGCCCCUGAGUUCAACCCCCAGUAUCCUCCCACAAAUAUAUAUAUAUAUAUAUAUAUUUCUCAAGUUGAAGUUGCUAUAGUUAGUAGUUUUAAUUUGUAAACAUUUGGUGUAAUCUUAAUGUUUUAGGUGACUGUGCAUAGCAUUUAUGUGUAGCCUGUUGUAAUUAAUGGACCUUUAUGUAAUGAUCCUCUUUAUUAAUGCUGGUUCAGUAUAAAGUGUACUUCUGGGAUAAAAUGAGCCACAUACAUAUAUCUCUAAGGUAACUGAAGAAAUGGUCUGAUAAAUCUUAUAAGAAAAUUAAUCAAAGGGAGAUCAGUAGAGGAAAGGGACCAAGGGGUGAGGGAGGGUGAAAGUGUUGGGGAGUGAUAUUGGCCAAAUUAUGUUGCUAUAUUGUG